AGGUUUGUCAUAUCCCUUUAACUAAAGGCAUUUCCUCAGUGACAUCAUCAUCCAGGAAGUGACAUGAUUUUGGAGGAAAAUCAACAGCAGAAACGCAUCAGUCCAUUGAACUCGAACAAUAACGAGAAGUGAAUAAACAAAUUGAUCCAGGGUCGUGACCUGCAGUCUGUGCAACAGGUUUGGACAUAAACACCAGGUCCAGUUUCAGCUGUGAGCAAACAAAGCUUACUUGAAGAUGGUGAAGACGUGAAGUCAACGCAGCAGUGACGUGAUUGACUGGGGCAUCGUCUCUUGGCGUAACUUCCUGUUCAUCUGAGAGUGACGUGAAAAGAGACACGUGCAGCAUAUAUAGGGACACCCUACAUUACCAUUCAAAAUAUUUUGUUUUUGAAAGAAAUUAAUACUUUUAUUCA